GACGAACGCUGGCGGCGUGCUUAACACAUGCAAGUCGAACGGAAAGGCCCUGCUUUUGUGGGGUGCUCGAGUGGCGAACGGGUGAGUAACACGUGAGUAACCUGCCCUUGACUUUGGGAUAACUUCAGGAAACUGGGGCUAAUACCGGAUAGGAGCUCCUGCUGCAUGGUGGGGGUUGGAAAGUUUCGGCGGUUGUGGAUGGACUCGCGGCUUAUCAGCUUGUUGGUGGGGGGGUGGGUUACCAAGGCUUUGACGGGUAGCCGGCCUGAGUGGGUGACCGGCCACAUUGGGACUGAGGUGCGGCCCAGACUCCUACGGGAGGCAGCAGUGGGGAAGAUUGAACAAUGGGCGGAAGCCUGAUGCAGCAACGCCGCGUGCGGGAUGACGGCCUUCGGGUUGUAAACCGCUUUCGCCUGUGACGAAGCGUGAGUGACGGUAAUGGGUAAAGAAGCACCGGCUAACUACGUG
rnacentral:rRNA from 1 species